AUUGAACGCUGGCGGCAUGCCUUACACAUGCAAGUCGAACGGCAGCACGGAGCUUGCUCUGGUGGCGAGUGGCGAACGGGUGAGUAAUAUAUCGGAACGUACCCUGGAGUGGGGGAUAACGUAGCGAAAGUUACGCUAAUACCGCAUACGAUCUAAGGAUGAAAGUGGGGGCUCGCAAGACCUCAUGCUCCUGGAGCGGCCGAUAUCUGAUUAGCUAGGUGGUGGGGUAAAGGACCAACAAGGCAUGGAUCAGUAGCUGGUCUGAGAGGACGACCAGCCACACUGGAACUGAGACACGGCCCAGACUCCUACGGGAGGCAGCAGUGGGGAAUUUUGGACAAUGGGGGCAACCCUGAUCCAGCAAUGCCGCGUGAGUGAAGAAGGCCUUCGGGUUGUAAAGCUCUUUUGUCAGGGAAGAAAAGGCUGCAGCUAAUAUCUGCGGCUCAUGACGGUACCUGAAGAAUAAGCACCGGCUAACUACGUGCCAGCAGCCGCGGUAA
rnacentral:rRNA from 1 species